rnacentral:piRNA from 1 species
UUAUUUUCUAAUCGAUCGAGU